rnacentral:rRNA from 1 species
GACGAACGCUGGCGGCGUGCUUAACACAUGCAAGUCGAACGGAAAGGCCCUGCUUUUGUGGGGUGCUCGAGUGGCGAACGGGUGAGUAACACGUGAGUAACCUGCCCUUGACUUUGGGAUAACUUCAGGAAGCUGGGGCUAAUACCGGAUAGGAGCUCCUGCCGCAUGGUGGGGGUUGGAAAGUUUCGGCGGUUGGGGAUGGACUCGCGGCUUAUCAGCUUGUUGGUGGGGUAGUGGCUUACCAAGGCUUUGACGGGUAGCCGGCCUGAGAGGGUGACCGGCCACAUUGGGACUGAGAUACGGCCCAGACUCCUACGGGAGGCAGCAGUGGGGAAUAUUGCACAAUGGGCGGAAGCCUGAUGCAGCAACGCCGCGUGCGGGAUGACGGCCUUCGGGUUGUAAACCGCUUUCGCCUGUGACGAAGCGUGAGUGACGGUAAUGGGUAAAGAAGCACCGGCUAACUACGUG